rnacentral:sRNA from 1 species
UAAUUUAUUACGUUUAGAUGAACAAGCACUUGUCGUAGAUAUCAUAAUGUCAUAUUUUGAAAAAGCAUUAACUAAUACUUCACCUUUUACGCCAGGAAAACUAAUAUUUAAAACGAAUGGUGAACCUGAAGUUGAAGAAUUAAUAUAAACUCCAUGAUAUUUAUUUAAAAAUUGACGGACGUCAUUAU